rnacentral:rRNA from 1 species
UGGGGAAUAUUGCGCAAUGGGGGAAACCCUGACGCAGCAACGCCGCGUGCGGGAUGAAGGCCUUCGGGUUGUAAACCGCUUUCAGCAGGGAAGAUAUAGACGGUACCUGCAGAAGAAGCCCCGGCUAACUACGUGCCAGCAGCCGCGGUAAUACGUAGGGGGCAAGCGUUAUCCGGAUUCAUUGGGCGUAAAGCGCGCGCAGGCGGCGCGUCAAGCGGGACCUUUAAUCUUAGGGCUCAACCUUAAGCAGGGUUUCGAACUGGCGUGCUCGAGUUAGGUAGGGGAGGUCGGAAUUCCCGGUGUAGCGGUGGAAUGCGCAGAUAUCGGGAAGAACACCGAUGGCGAAGGCAGACCUCUGGGCCUUAACUGACGCUCAGGCGCGAAAGCUGGGGGAGCGAACAGG